GCGCCAGUAGUCUAGUGGUUAGGACUCAACCCUUCCAAGGUUGGGGGAGGGGUUCGAUUCCCUUCCGGCGCA